rnacentral:misc_RNA from 1 species
AACCUUAUGGACCUGCGGGCGUAUACCUGCGGAAGGAUCAUUAUCGAGUUCUGCUCCCCGGAGCGUCCUCCCAACCCUUUGUUUACUUGACCACUUGUUGCUUCGGCGGACCGGUCUUUAGCUGACCGCCGGCACUUUGCAAAGAGGUGCUGGACAGUUGUCCGUCGAUGGCUCAAAUCAAAAACAUAUUCUUGUACCGAAACGUGUCGUCUAAAAAAAUUCUUGAUGUACAAUCAAAAA